AUUGAACGCUGGCGGCAUGCCUUACACAUGCAAGUCGAACGGCAGCACGGGAGCAAUCCUGGUGGCGAGUGGCGAACGGGUGAGUAAAGUAUCGGAACGUGCCCAGUCGUGGGGAUAACGUAGCGAAAGUUACGCUACUACCGCAUCCGCUCUAUGGAUGAAAGCGGGGGAUCGCAAGACCUCGCGCGCUUGGAGCGGCCGAGAACAGAUGAGGUAGUUGGUGGGGUAAAGGGUCACCAAGCGGACGAUCUGGAGCUGGUCUGAGAGGACGACCAGCCACACUGGGACUGCGACACGGCCCAGACACCUACGGGAGGAAGCAGGGGGGAAUUUUGGACAAUGGGCGCAAGCCUGAUCCAGCCAUGCCGCGUGCAGGAUGAAGGCCUUCGGGUUGGAAACUGCUUUUGUACGGAACGAAAAGGUUUGACUUAAUACGUUGGACUCAUGACGGUACCGUAAGAAUAAGCACCGGCUAACUACGUGCCAGCAGCCGCGGUAA
rnacentral:rRNA from 1 species